rnacentral:tRNA from 1 species
AAUAUUAAGAAAAUAAUUCUAUUAGCUUUCAAAGUUAAAAGUGGUGUUAUAUUAGUUCUAAUAU